AACGAACGCUGGCGGCAGGCUUAACACAUGCAAGUCGAACGCCCCGCAAGGGGAGUGGCCGACGGGUGAGUAACGCGUGGGAACAUACCCUUUUCUACGGAAUAGCUCUGGGAAACUGGAAUUAAUACCGUAUACGCCCUACGGGGGAAAGAUUUAUCGGGGAAGGAUUGGCCCGCGUUGGAUUAGCUAGUUGGUGGGGUAAAGGCCUACCAAGGCGACGAUCCAUAGCUGGUCUGAGAGGAUGAUCAGCCACAUUGGGACUGAGACACGGCCCAAACUCCUACGGGAUGCAGCAGAGGGGAAUAUUGGACAAUGGGGGCAAGCCUGAUCCAGCCAUGCCGCGUGAGUGAUGAAGGCCUGAGGGUUGUAAAGCUCUUUCACCGAUGAAGAUAAUGACGGUAGUCGGAGAAGAAGCCCCGGCUAACUUCGUG
rnacentral:rRNA from 1 species